rnacentral:lncRNA from 1 species
UUAAUAUGAUUAUCUGCCUAGAAAACUCAAGAGAAUUAGCUGAAAAUAUAUCAGAAUAGAAUAUUUAAAUAAAUGAGCCUUGUUUCUUCCUGUUGACAUCAUCAGUCAUCUUUUGAGUAUACUGUGAGGCCCACUUUCUCCACAAGCCAGUGCUGGGGAAGAAAAAGAGGAGCAAAGGGAGCUUCAAGGAGCCAACCUCAUUUUACGUCAUCCUUGGCUUUAUCCAUUUAUUAUCAAUCUAUUCAACAGGAAUUCACAGUCUAACAUGGAAGUCAAAGGAAUCAGAGGUGUCUCGGUGAGUGCCACGGCAGAGGAGAGACACCGUAAAUGAAGGCACAGAGGGCCGACAAGAUGCUGUCUGAGAAAUACAAUAUUUCAUCCGGGUUCUGAAGGCGGGGGAGAGUGUGAGCCACUCACUCCUUGAAAAAUCUCCUCUUGAAUUUCCUCCUCCUCCUUUCUUU